GAUGAACGCUGGCGGCGUGCCUAAUACAUGCAAGUCGAGCGAAUGGAUUAAGAGCUUGCUCUUAUGAAGUUAGCGGCGGACGGGUGAGUAACACGUGGGUAACCUGCCCAUAAGACUGGGAUAACUCCGGGAAACCGGGGCUAAUACCGGAUAACAUUUUGAACCGCAUGGUUCGAAAUUGAAAGGCGGCUUCGGCUGUCACUUAUGGAUGGACCCGCGUCGCAUUAGCUAGUUGGUGAGGUAACGGCUCACCAAGGCAACGAUGCGUAGCCGACCUGAGAGGGUGAUCGGCCACACUGGGACUGAGACACGGCCCAGACUCCUACGGGAGGCAGCAGUAGGGAAUCUUCCGCAAUGGACGAAAGUCUGACGGAGCAACGCCGCGUGAGUGAUGAAGGCUUUCGGGUCGUAAAACUCUGUUGUUAGGGAAGAACAAGUGCUAGUUGAAUAAGUCGGCACCUUGACGGUACCUAACCAGAAAGCCACGGCUAACUACGUGCCAGCCGCCGCCGUAA
rnacentral:rRNA from 1 species